UGGGGAAUUUUGGACAAUGGGCGAAAGCCUGAUCCAGCAAUGCCGCGUGUGUGAAGAAGGCCUUCGGGUUGUAAAGCACUUUUGUCCGGAAAGAAAUCCUUGGCUCUAAUACAGUCGGGGGAUGACGGUACCGGAAGAAUAAGCACCGGCUAACUACGUGCCAGCAGCCGCGGUAAUACGUAGGGUGCAAGCGUUAAUCGGAAUUACUGGGCGUAAAGCGUGCGCAGGCGGUUUGCUAAGACCGAUGUGAAAUCCCCGGGCUCAACCUGGGAACUGCAUUGGUGACUGGCAGGCUAGAGUAUGGCAGAGGGGGGUAGAAUUCCACGUGUAGCAGUGAAAUGCGUAGAGAUGUGGAGGAAUACCGAUGGCGAAGGCAGCCCCCUGGGCCAAUACUGACGCUCAUGCACGAAAGCGUGGGGAGCAAACAGGAUUAGAUACCCUGGUAGUCCACGCCCUAAAACGAUGUCAACUAGUUGUUGGGGAUUCAUUUCCUUAGUAACGUAGCUAACGCGUGAAGUUGACCGCCUGGGGAGUACGGUCGCAAGAUUAAAACUUAAAGGAAUUGACGGGGUCAUGCUGUUUCCU
rnacentral:rRNA from 1 species